CGGAGAGAAAGUAUUUGGUUGUCUCGGUGGGAUUCGGUAGAUAACUUGUCUUGCUGAGGUUCUAGCUCUCGAUCGAGGUGAGUGGUUUAUGUAAUGUUUUCAAAAUAUUCUUAUUUUCCUAUAAAUGUGAAAACCAUGAGCUAUCGUAGGUUUUGAUCUAUUUCCAAAUAUCUCUCUAUUUCAAGUCAAGCAUGUUGGAUUUGUUGAAAUGUUUUCGGAGUUAUUAUAUAUGGUGAUAUGUGGAUAAUUGGAUAUGCUUAUGGAGCAUAAGAACUUUAGUGUUGGGCUAUCCUAGGGAUAAACGUAUGGCACAUGGUGACAUUAGGGCAGAAUGACCAAUUUAGGGGUCACGUGGUGAGCUGCAUAUUAUGAAGUAUAACCAACAUGUGAAGGGAUGAUGCGAUGUGGAAUUAUGUCACUAAAGCUUUGAUAUUAUUCUCAUAUUUUCCAGCCUGUGUAAAACGAGAUCGGUUGAUUGGCAUAUUACAUAUUUUACUCACUGGGCAAUGAUGGUUGUUGCUCACUCCACCCUUUUAUUUUAUAGUCCCUAGACUCAAUUUAAUGUCAACAUAUGCAUUCAAUGUCUUUUUUUAUCAUAACUGAUAGUGUCCAUGAAUUAAAUUUUAUAAAAAAUAUUGUAAAUUAUAAUACUCAUUUGAAUUCAAAUGAGUUAGCUUUUUUUUUAACAUACGAUAUUAUCUGCACUAAGGGAAGGGGGUGUGUUAAGCCUCACAAUGUGCUAGCAAUAAUGUGGUUCAAAUUCGCCUUUGGCGAGAAUCGAACCUAAGACCUCACUUACAAGUGAAGAGGAAUAUCACUGGACCGUAGUACUAAGUGGCAAAUGAAUUAGCUUUUAUUUGUUGACAUUUUGCAUCACCAAUUUAUGGUAAGUAUCUUAUAUAAGAAAUAUUUUGGUAGAGACUUUUCGGUACACUAGUUCAGUAUUAUGUUUAGGUACAGACAUUUUCUCGUUUAGUAUAACAUAUUUAGGUACGAACAUUUCGGUACACUAGUUUUGUAUUAAUAACAAUGCUCAAUCAAGCUUUACAGAGUUGCAGAAAUUAUGAGAAAAGUUGAAGAGCUUCAGAAAUGUAAGAGUCGAAGAUAUAGAGAGAAGAGAGAGAAAGAGGGAAAAGUAUAACUUUGAACAGAUUCACAUUAUUGAGAAAUGAGAGGCUACAACAGUACAUAUGGUGUUUGAGAUUCUAACUAACUAGCUUACAAUACAAGGCAGCCAGCUAACUAACUCAUAACAAUCUAAUCUUAUUACAAUCCAAUUACACUGUGACACAUGGACCGAUAUACUAAAGCUAUAUCAGCAUUCUAUUAUUACUCCCCUUCAAUCUCAGCUGGGAUAUCCAAGCCUGAGAUUGCUGCAAUGUUUGAUGAAAACUGGGCUGUGUCAUCCUUUAGUCAAAAUGUCUGCAACUUGUGACUCAGUUGAAACAUAAUCAACUGUAGUGUCUCUUUUCUACACUCUCUCUGACAAAGUGAUAAUCAGUGUCUAGUUGUUUUAUUCGAGAAUGAAAUACUGGGUUUGAACUGCGUGCCAAAGUAGAAAUGUUGUCACAAUGCAUAGCAGGUGGAGAAGUUACAAACUCAUUCAAAUCUUUGAGCACAGAUCUUAUCCAGCAAACAUCAGCAGUGCAAUGUUCUAGUGCUUUGUAUUCAGCUUCAGUUGAACUUCUUGAGACAAAGGCUUGCUUCUUUAAUUACCAUCACCCAAAUACACAACAUAACUUGUUAUUGACCUUCUUAUAUUUAUGUCUGCAGCCCAAUCAACAUCAAAGAAAGCUGAUAUAUGAAUCAGUUGAUGGAGUGUAAGUAAGACCACAUUCCAAGGUUCCUUGUAGAUAUCCCAUCAUUCUUUUCACAAGAAAGAAGUGCAUAUUAGUAGGCCUAGUCAUGUAUGGACAAACAACAUUGAUAGAGUGUGUAAUGUCAGGCCUAGAGAAUGUCAAGUAUUGUAAUGCCCCACCAAACAUAUAUAAAUGGUAGGAUCAGACAUAGGCUUGCCUUCAAAGACAAGUAACUGAGUGUGUGGUUUGGAUGGAAUUGGUGUAGGUCUACAAUUUUCCAUUCUUGCCUUUUUUAGUAAUUCUCUGGCAUAUUUUGUUUGAUUGACAAAGAGACUUCCAUCUGCCUUAUAUUGAAUAUGAAGUCCAAGAAAGUAUAUCAACUACCCCAUAUCCUUCAAAUCAAAUAACUCUCCAAGUUGAGUGAUAAUCAUUGAACUUUGGACUUGUUAAAACCUGUCAAGAUGAUAUUAUCUACAUACAAUAGUAGAAUGAUUAUAUCCUCUCCAUCAUUCUUGACAAUUACACUUGUAUCAAAUUGAGAUACACUGAAUCCCAAAUAUGGUAACACACUUGUGAACUUUGAAUUCCAAGCCCUAGGUGCUUGUUUGAGUCCAUAUAAAGAUUUAACCAACUUACACACAUGUUGAGGACAUUUUGGAUCUAUAAAGCCUUGUGGUUGCUUCAUAUAUAUGUCUUCUUGAAGAUCUCCAUGCAAGAAGGCCUUCUUAUUGUCAAGUUGUCUAAGUUCCCAUUUAUGACAAGUAGCAAGAGCAAGAAUCAACCUUACAGUAGUGUGUCUCACAACUGGAUUGAAGGUUUUAACAUAAUUAAGCCCUUGUUCAUGUGUAUACCCUUGUGCAACCAAUCUUGUUUUGUAUCUUGCAAUGUUGCCAUAUGGAUUCUUCUUUAUUUUAUAAAUCCAUUUACUCCCCACAAUAGACCUAGUAGCUGGAGUUGGAACCAAUAUCCAUGUACAUUGAGCCUUUAGUGCAUCAUAUUCAUCCUGCAUUGCUUGCUGCCAAUGAGGAUUUGAUGAAGCGGCUUUGAAUGUUUUUGGUUCAUUUGUAUCAUUGAUUUCUGCUAAAAAGGAAUAUAUAGCAUAAUCAUCAAUUUGUAAUGCUUUUAGCUCAGGUAACACAGACAAAUAACCAGCAUAGUUUUUCCUCAUAAUUGCACUAGAUUGCAAUCUAGUUGUCAUAUUGUGUGUUUUGCCAGAACUAGAUUAGAUUCAGAAAUGGAUUCAUAUGUAUCUGUAAUAGGCAAUAUUACCUGAAGUUGUGCAGGAUCAAGGAUAGGCAACAAUGGGAGAAAUUGAUCUUGUGUUUGAGGAAGAACCUGUGAACUAUGUGUUUCAGAUUCCUAAGAUGACCCUGCAACAUUUGAUGAUUGAGUGUGAUUAGAACCAUUUUGAAGUCCACUAGAUGUUGAUGUAGAUCCUGAAGUAUACCAGUAUCAAAUUUUUGUACUUGAGUUGAUGAAGUUGUGGCACGAUUCAUUGUCUGAGAUGUAUUAUUUUGACUUUCAAAAGUUACAACAUUCACAAUCACUAGAGAUGAAGAACUAGGAACUAUUGUGUUUAUAUUCUUAGAGAUUUCAACUCCAUUAACCUUUGCUGGAAAUUGAUUUUCAUCAUGAAGCACAUGUCUGGAUAGAAUUAAUCUUUUGGCUUGCAGAUGAUAGCAAAUAACCCCAUUUAUAUCUUGAUGCAUAUCCUAAGAACAAACAUACUGAAAACCUAGGUUGCAGUUUGUUAUCAUUAUAAUGCCUUAGGUAUGGAUACACAGUUGUGCCUAAGAUUUUCAACUCUUGUAGAUUAGGAUGUUUGUCAAACAAUGCAAAAUAAGGAGAGUUCAUGUGUAGUGUUUUAGAAGGCAUCCUAUUUAUUAAGAACAUUGCAUGAGCACAUGCAUGAUACCAAAAUUCUUAAGCUAGACCAGCUGCAUCCAUUAGAGUAAUUGCAGUUUCAAUAAUAUGGUGAUGUUUUCUCUCAGCCAAGCCAUUCUGUUAUGGUGUGUAAAGACAUGCCACUCUGUGAGUUAUGCCAUUUGAUGCUAUGAAAUCCUUAAAUGCAUUACUUAUGAAUUCACUGCCUCCAUCUGAUUGUAAAUUUUAAAUUUUAAAACCAAAUUGCACUUCAACAAACUCAAUAAUUUUUAUGUAAGAUUUUGUUGAUGUAUGGUGUAAUUGUUAUAAUUUUAUUUUAUUUUCCACCAUAUCUUGGUUGUAGAAUUUAUUUCUAUAGUUAAGAUAUGGCUCACACCCUAGCUUGUGAAUAGUCUUUAUAAGUGGGUCGGGGCGUGACAUUUACAACAGAGAAAAUAACGAGGAGCAUGCAUUGCAUGCAGUAAGAGUUCACAUAGAGAUUAUAUAUACUUGUAUACAUAGAAAGAGCGGAAAGAAAGUAUUUGGUUGUCUCGGUGGGAUUCGGUAGAUAAAUUGUCUUGCCGAAGUUCUAGCUAUCGAUCGAUGUGAGUGGUUUAUGUAAUGUGUUCAAAAUAUUCUUGUUUUCCUAUAAAUUUGAAAACCAUGAGCUCUCGUGGGUUUUGAUCUAUUUCCAAAUAUCUUUCUAUUUCAAGUCAAGCAUGUUGGAUUUGUUGAAAUGUUUUCGGAGUGAUUAUAUAUGGUGAUAUGUGGAUAAUUGGAUAUGCUUAUGGAGCAUAAGAACUUUAGUGUUGGGCUAUCCGAGGGAUAAAUGUAUGGCACAUGGUGACAUUAGGGCAAAACGACCAAUUUAGGGGUCACGUGGUGAGUUGCAUAUUAUGAAGUAUAACCAACAUGUGAAGGGAUGAUGUGAUGUGGAAUUAUGUCAUUAAAGCUUUGAUAUUAUUCUCAUAUUUUCUAGCCUAUGCAAAAUGACAUCAGUUGAUUGGCAUAUUACAUAAUCUACUCACUGGGCAAUGAUGGUUGUUGCUCACCCCACCGUUUUAUUUUAUAGAUGAGUUAUUUGGCAAGAGAAUGACUAAAUGAGCUGAGGUUGUGUCAUAAGAGCGGGAUUUAAGAGUUUUAUUAUAUUUGUACACUCUGUAAGGGUUUUUCAACCGUGUAUUUCGUUUGUUUUUGUUUUUUGUUUUUAGUCGUGCACCAAACAUGGGUUAAUUUUUUCACCGGUCCUGGGUCCGGGGCGUGACGGUGGCGAUCAUCUAAGAUUUUCUCCUUGCAUUGGUGCUCGGAACGAUGUUACUCGAUGUUCGAUACCGACUUUUUAGCUCUUCCACCCUUAGCUGGGUCAUAAUGCUGACAGUAUGGUCAUCGGUAUGAUCCCCCAACGCCUUCUUAUAACUCACUGAGAGAGGAUUUUCAGCUAACUCAACCAUAUCUACCUGGGGUAUCGAAGACCCUAGGUAGUCAGAGGUAUUGAAGAAGUCUCCAUCCCCUAUCUCACUAAAAGCGGCUCUGAUGACAUCUUGUUUAAGGUUCUCCUUUCGAUAGCCAGAGGUGGAUUAUUCUUCUGGGGCAGUUGAUGAAAAGAGUCUCAUAAAUCUACCAUCGGCGCUCGGUGGACGAGGUUAUCGCCAAAACUGACUUGUAAGUCGUCAAGGUCGUCGUGAUCUAUUCUUUCACUCCCAACCAAUUGCUAGUAGUUUUGAGUCUGUUGGUCUUAUAUCUGAGCCUGAAGCGCAAGACAUCGCGGUGCUCGGUCUUUACACAUAUUUUUGGUCUCAUUAAUGUGAAAUGAACUACUUAUACAAAAUUAGAUUACUAAGGCUGUUAAAGGGCUCGUUCAGAUGAGUUUUGAAACCUACGUAGCCUACCAAGUAAGCAAAGAUGUCCUACUUUAAUCUGCCAACCAGACUUAUCGGACUUUGUCUUCAUCGACAUCUACUCACAGUGGUGACAACCGACCGUUUGAAUUUCAUGGAAAAAUAACAACCACAAAAAAUAUACCAAGUGAAAACAAAGAAAGGUGCUGAUGUGAGAAACUAACAUAAGAAAGGUCAAAGCAGAAGAUUGGAGACUUGUGGAACCAUUAUGGACACUGAAAAUAUCACGGUACGAAUUCGACAGAGUAUCGACUGAAAAGACAAAGUGAAAUAAAAAUUACUCCCGGGAUUAAGUCUAUAUAAGCCCCACUGAGUGCUUGAUCUCAGCCGAUUAAAAAAGAGCCAAAAUGAUCAUAUCAUGACACGUGACAACCCACUUGCUCCGUUUCUGAAACGAAAGGGAUGCGAAACGACUUCACAGUCCACAAGGCCAUGUUUAUCUGCUACGCCUUCAAUGCUCAGAUGCCUUGAUUUCUCCAUCAACCCACAACAGACACGAACACAACGAGCAUAGAUAUCCCGACCGUUUCUAUCUUGACCAAGGAGUCAGGAGACUGAUGAAUUUCGAACAAUGUAUUUCCAAGAAAAAGGCCGGCCACCAAAGCGCCCCGCCUCAAACAUCUUACAGAACACCAUGGUAUUAUUUUAGGGUUUAACCGACUAUUAACACAUGGUCUUUUUCAGACUUUUUGACCCUAAAAUAGUGCAGGUCUAAGAAAGACCUAGUAACGGCUCAAGGCAAUCCAAAUAAGGAAAAAAAGACCAAGGCCCAAGGGAACUAGGGCGAUAGCUUCGAGUGUUGUGGAUGUCCGCUCAAUGGUUGGGUUUGACUAUUACCAAAGAAGCCGAGCACCUUUUCAUAAAGUAUUUUUCGACCGCUAAAGGCAAGUGUCACGCUCUGAACCCAUGGUCGGUAAUUAAAACUUGAAUCCAAAUCUGAAACGUGAGUUAAAAGCUCAAUAAAUAAAAUGAAAUUGAAACAUGUUGGAAAAUAAAUUCCUCUUAUAAAAAGAAUUCAUGAUUCUUAAACAAAUCAAGAAUUCUUUACAACCUACAGUAAAUAGAUGAAUAAACAUUCUAUUCUCACAUCUAAUCCGAUCUCAUCCUGCGUACCCUCUUCAAUGUCUAGUUCAUAAACCUGCAUAACAAUAGAGGGAUGAGUUUUAACAGCUCAUGAGGGACAUAACCUUAUCACAGUAAAUUGACAAUAUUAAAUUAAGUGUCAUGAAAUCAUAUAGCCAAAUAUCAAAUCAUAAAUGAAAACAAUGCAUGUAUGCAAUCCAACCUCUUCAGCUACACCCGUUAAUUUAUAUAAUAAAACAGCGGAUCUGCACGUCCCAUACCAUGUAUUUUACCACUGCAGUGGUGGUUCGAAUGUUCUAUUAUAGAAACUAACCGCUUUACGAUAUCCCAAGCUCAUAAACCCUUUUUGCUAGUCAUCUUAUCUAAUUCAUUGAUCUCUAGCCCAAAUCACCCACAUCGACAAUUUUCCCACCGAUAUCCUAUUCUAAUGUGCACAUCGGGCUUGCCUGGAACUGGUUUCACAAUGAAUAGAUUCAACUACACAAAAGAUCCUUUACAACUACCCUCAUUUCCCGAAUUCCAAUCUCAACACUAAAGUUCCAACCACAUCUCACAACAUGAGUGAUGCACAAAUAAUGUCAUUUCAUCUUUCACAUGUAUCACAUUAUAUUCUCAACGAAUAGCAUUCUAGCAAUAAUUCCAUAACCAAUAACAAGUAAACACCUAACUGAAGCAAUUAGCCAAUUAAUAUCCAACCACAUUAAUCAACCAAAAAGAUCAAGAAUAUUAUAACACUUCACGAAAUUUAAUAAAAUCAAUUUCCGUAAAGGUCUGCCGUAUUUCCCCUACUUGAAUUCCAAAGCUAAAACGAAGAUCCACAUUACUACCGCAAUAGCUAAACCCACGUACUUGAACAAGCUCCUUGAUCACCAUGUAUUUCUUCUAGUCUCUUUUCUAUUCUAUCUAUAUAGAACUAUAUAUAAACAAAUAUAUAUAUAUAUAUAUAUAUAUAUAUAUGUGUGUGUGCGCGCGCGCGCGCAUAUGCCAAUCUCUAUGUAAACUAAUCCACGCAUUGCAUGCCAUCCCAUUCUCACUCAAGUUCUUAUUUUGGUUUUUAAUAGAAAUGAUGAUGAGCUUCUCCUAUUGAUACUAGAAGGAGAGGGUUAGUAAACUUAAUUACCGAGUAAAAAUAGUAAUAAAAUAUAGAAACUUAAGAUCGUUUCUUAUCCUAAUGGCAUUGAGGUGUCAAUUGCAUGGGAAAAGCACAAGACACGUCCACCUAUGUAGCUUCACAUAGUCACUAUGUAGAGUGCUCACAAAGCACUUGUGUCUUCUCACAAAAAGCCACCUCCUGCUUGAAUUUCAUGAGUCACAUACACACAUGUCCCUUGUAAGCAAGUUCAAAGCCAUUACCGCUUUGGUCUUUUCCACUUAGCUAAGCUAUAAAGCUUAGUCAUGUAUUAGUAAGCAUGAAAUCACUUGCUUGUAACAUGCAUAACACCUAACACGGUUGAAAUGUACUAAACAUCUCCACAUAAUAUUAUGAAAAUAUGGGAUCUCACAGCAAGUUGGGAGACUAACAACUUUAUAGCACGAAGUUCCGGAGACAUAUUUGCUCUGACACCAAACCAAAGCACACAUUGGUCAUAAACAAGGAUAAAAGCAUAUAAGAAAAAACCACCUUAACAUGCUUGAACCAAAAUAGCCAUACCAGUAGUACUAUACAUGUCAUUUGUUUAAUAUAUGUGCCAAAAUUUAUAUUGACUAACUUUCAUAUAUAGAAAAUAUAUUAAAUACAUUGGCAGGCAUGUAUAUUGAUGGUAUAUAACUAGCAUAUGAUGUAUCCUUCCAACGCAAUUUUAAUGCGUGUUAUCCUAAUCAUAUAUUUACACAAUAUCAACAGUAAUUUUGAGAAAUUCCAUAAGAGAGCCAAUUUCAUCUCCUGUAGUCAGAAGUACGUCAAACUGUAUUCGAAUUCUUAUGCCCAUUUCUUAAUUGCAUUAAUCAGGUUGCAGUCAAAAUAUUCUGAAUAUUCUGUUCGUCGCAGGAAUCUCCUGGCGGACGAGCACACAGCUCCCCUGGGAGAAUGGCGUCGGUUGAGGGUAUCUGUCGUACUUCUGCUUUCUUCUCGGGCUCGCUCGGGCAAGCCUUUGUCGGGCAGAUCUUGGUCGGGCAAGACACACUUCGGGUAAGACAUAUUUGGUCUUUUAUGGUUGCCAGAGUCUUAUCACUAUUAUACCUUUGAUUAUCUGAAUCCAAGAGGUAGGACGAACCCAAAUGAGUGCCUUUGUAGGGCCUUAGGUAUAGGCCUUGAGGCUUCCCAUCAGAGUUAAUCCUUAUACUCGGACCAACUAGACCGCAACAUGAAAUGAAGCUAAAUAGAUGCCUUCGUGGGGCCUUAGGUGUAGGCCUUGAGGCUUUCUAUCAGAAUUCACUCCAUGCUUAAGCCUUUUCUACGAAUCAAGAUAUAAUAGCAACAAAACGGAGAAAUAGAUUGAUUACUUGCGCCCUAAGUAACUUCGGACUUCUCGCUUAUCAAGGAUUGUCGUGGAUGGGUUGAGUCCACAUAGAGUUCUUUUUUAUGCCUUGAGGCCAAGGACUUUUAAGCUGAUCUUUAAAUUACAUGCCCGCCGAGCUUAAGACUUAGAUCUGAUUUGAACUCUGACGCGAUUCAGAUCGGAUUCAAGUGCUGAAGACUCAUUUUCAUUAUGACUUUGCUAGAAAUAACUUGUAUAUAACUGGGAAUAUAUAACAUGUUAUUGUUCUUUUAAAAGAAAGAAAAGACAAAGACAGAGCAAAGAUAGUCGGGUAAGUUUGAACCUUAUCGGCCAAGGCUGAACUUCUUACAAAAUCUAUCUUUGUGGCUCUGUCAGAGGUCUGAAAGCUUUUAGAGGGGUUGAAGGGGGAGAAGAGGAUACAAAAUGAAUCGAUACCACCAUGAACAAGGUAGCAGAGCUAUUACAAGGGUUUGGGAAGGUUUAUCCCGAAUGGGAUGAAGGCUUGUGCUGACUACAGCUUCGUUGAAGGCAAAUUUGGCUUGAGCAGAGUUUUGGCUUUUGUUUGUUUGUUUGUUUGAGUGUCCCUAAUUCUGUCUUCUCUUCCUCCUUUUAUAGACGACUUCAGCUUGGGUUCCUGUAGCAAUAGCGGUGCCCGAAUGCGGUUUGGUGAUGACUCACUAGCUUUUUUACAUGAAUGCCACCAAUAAAGUACUUUAUUGGGCUGUGUAGUGACUGAAUAGCCUACCCCCUGUGGUCUUUGAGCAGGUAAGCAGGUGGCCUUUGUAACUUGUGCCCAGCCGAAAGCCUAUUUCCUGCCUCCUAAGUUUUCCUCUGGGCCUUGGGUUUGGGCCGACUUUCUCUCUGGCCCAAAGUUCAGAUUUUAUCCCAAACAGUGCCCCCUUCAAUUGAUGUUAAGGUUGGGAUCCCAAGCGCCAACAUUAAAUGAAUAACAGCAUGCGUGCCCUUUGAGAGCUUCUUGCGACCUUUAAACUGCCUUCUGGUUCUCUAUAAAUUCUGGCUUUGGAAACCCUUUUCAAAUCAUCACCUCUUCUUCAUUUUGGUCUUCACCCUUCAUCCACCUUGAAUCCUUCCGUCUCCCCACUGAGAAAUGGGUUCCUCAGGUUUUGAGUGGAGUUUCCUGAAACUCCCCUUUCGUGAGAAAAAAGAAAGUUUUCACCUGAUGAUUGCUACCUCCAACACCUUUGGUCGAUCACCCCUCUACCUCUAACACCCUUGGUCAGGCGGUCUCCUCUUGAUGACUGAUCUUCCCACAACUUGUGGUGAUAAGUCGGGCUUCAUCAUCAUACAUGGUGAAGAUCUUGUGGGAGGGUCCUCUACCAAGCUCAUGUUGGCCGCACAACCCGAUCACCUGAUUGGGUUUCAACCAAGAAGAUAGCGGGAAACCAGUUGAAGACACCAACACUUUCAGAGAGGAUCAAAUGUAAUACAUAAGAUUUGGUAUCUUGUAAUACAUAAGAUUUGGUAUCUUGUAAUCUCAUCAAUUUGUCGACAUGAAAUAAGUAUUUUUAUCUAUUUCUGCAUCUCUGUCUUCUUUAAAUGUUUGGAUGAACAAAAUACCGUAUGUGAAUUUCUAAGGUCCGUCUCACUCUGCUCCCUCUUCGAUAUAACAAUCCCUAACAUCCCAUAAUGUAGGACAAUAUUUCUUCAAGAAUUUUGCAUUAAUAGGGUGUUUCUGCUCAUUGCCUUCGAGGUCUGCUAGAUAAUAUCCUCCUUUGUUCAAAACCCGACUAAUAAUAAAAGGACCUUCCCAUGUCGGGCUCCAUUUCCCGAAGCCACGCAGCUGAGCGCCUAGCGGGAGGACCGCUUUCCACGCUAAAUCUCCUUCCUUGAAAGACUUUAACUUCACCCUUUUGUUAUAAGCUCGGGCAACAGCAAUCUUUCCUUCUUGAAUCUGGUUCAAGGCUUCAAUUCGGGCUGCAUCCAGAUCUUCAAUACCUUGACACACAUGGCUUCGAUAUAUUCUGCACUAUGCAACCCAAAUUGGUUUUGAAUUCUUACGGAACUGACGUUGAUUUCCAUAGGAAGCACUGCAUCUUGCCCGAAAGUCAAGGCAUAAGGAGUCGUGCCUGUCCCCGCUCUUUUAGAAGUCCGGUAUGCCCACAACGUGUUCCCUAGCAUCUCAUGCCACCUUUCUGGACUAUCAAUCACCAUCAUUUUAAUAAUGUUGACCAAGAUCUUGUUGCUAGCCUCUGCUUGCCCAUUUGACUAAGGGUAGUAUGGACUGGAUUGGAUCAUCUUUAUUUUGUACUUGCUUGCAAACUCUUCAACCUCCUUUGAAAUAAAAGAUGGCCCACGAUCCGUUACUAUAGUUUCAGGCACCCCAUACCUGUGCAGGAUCUUGGUCUCAAUAAAAUUCUCGACCACGGCUGAAGUUAUGGAUUUUACUGCCGAUGCUUCUACCCAUUUGGUGAAGUAAUCCGUUGCCACAAUUAUGAAAGUAUGUCCCUUACUAGAGGCCGGAUAAAUCUGCCCGAUGAAGUCCAUUGCCCAUCCUCGGAACGGCCAAGGCUUGACCACUAGAUUGAGAGGUACUGAUGGUACGUGCUGGAGAGGUCCAUGUCUCUGACAUUCUUCACAUCCGCGGGCAUAGGACUUACAAUCUUUUUCCAUGUCGAGCCAGAAAUAACCAUACCUUCUGAGUAGCCAUCUCAUCUUUGUUCCCGCUUGAUGUGCUCCACAUAUUCCCUCAUAUACUUCGGCCAUUACUCUCAUGGAUUCCUCUAGGCCUAAGCAUUUUAAUAGCAACCCAUCUGGGGUCUUUCUCAACAGAUUUUUUGUCCACAAGACAUACUUGGUUGCUUGCUGCCUGUUCUUCUUACUUGUGGGUGAAGAAGGAUCUUUCAGAUACUGAGUAAUAGGUGUCCUCCAAUCUUCCACCUCGAUCACUAGAACCAUUACAUCCAGACUGAACCUCCGAUCUAAGAUAGAGGGAAGGUUUCUUGUUUGGAUCUCAACAUCAACACCAUACUUCCUUUCUUGCAUUGGCACUCCUGAAGCUAGUUGCGCCAUUUCAUUGGCUGCCAAGUUAGAUCCCCUAGGAAUGUGAUUGACUGAUAUCUCAGACUCCCACAAACUCAGCAGUUGUGUUGCUGCCAUAUAGUACCCUGCCAUAGUGAUAUGUCUGCAUUUGAACUCGCCAUUUAGUUGAUUUAUCACUAACUCUUAAUCACCAAAGAUCUCUACUUCAGUUGCCCCCAAGUCCAUCAGGAUUUCCAGGCCGAUAAUCAAUGCCUCAUACUCCGCCCGAUUAUUGGUAUUUUCUUGAUAAUCAAGUAGGAAGGAAUAGUAAUGAUAAACCUCUUGAGGGUUUAUAAUCACAAUUCCAGCUCCUGCUGCCUUCUGAGUGUAGGAUCCAUCGAAAUAUAGCUUCCAAGGUGUAAUCCAAAGACCUGCUACUCUCCUUAUCUCUUUCUGGAUCCAAUCUUCUUUGCCCGAAACAUCACUUCUUGGUGGGAUCCAUACAUUAGCAACUUCUAAACUUCCCGGGAUAUUGAUUUCCUCGCUUUGAGACUCCUGAUGUUCGGUCAGGAAGUCAGCAAUUGCCUGGCCUUUGACUGCCCUCUGGGGUAUGUACUGAAAACUGAAUUCUGAUAAUGCUAGAAUCCACUUCCCAAUCCUCCCUGCUAGCAUAGGUCUUGACAACAUAUACUUUAUCACAUCUGUUUUGGCGAUAAUGUGCACAUGACAAGGUAGCAUGUAAUGCCUUAGCUUGCUGGCAGUAAAAUAUAGAGCCAAACACAGUUUUUCCACCGGAGAAUAUCUUGUUUCUACCUCGGUCAGAAUUCUGCUGAGGUAAUACACAGCCUGCUCUUUUCCUCCUUCAUUAUUCUGGGCUAGUAGACUCCCAAUUGAUCUUUCCGAUGCAGAAAUAUAUAGUUUCAAUGGCUUUCCCCUUUGAGGUGGCACCAGCACUGGUGGGGAAGUUAAGUAAGCCUUGAUGCUAUCAAAUGCCUGCUGGUGGGUUGGCCCCCACUCAAAAUUCUCCAUAUCCUUCAAUCUCAGUAGCGGAGUUAGUGGCUGGAUUUUGCCCGCCAAAUUAGCAAUGAAUCUCCUUAAGAAGUUGAUUUUACCUAGCAAUCUCUGAAGCUGUACUUUGUUGGUAGGUGGAAGUGACUCUAAUAUUGCUCGAGACUUAUUUUUGUCCACCUCCACACCUCUCCGACGCACCAAGAAUCCCAAAAAAUUGCCCGCUCUUACUCCAAAAGCGCAUUUCUUUGGAUUCAUCUUCAACUUGUGGAUCCGCAUCUUCAUCAAUGCUUGCUUGAGGUCCACGAGAUGCUGCUCUUCUGUCUUAGAUUUCACCACAAUGUCAUCGAUAUACACCUCCAUGCUUUGGCCAAUUAAAUCAUGAAAAAUGGCAUUCAUUGCCCUUUGAUACGUGGCGCCUGCAUUUUUGAGCCCGAAUGGCAUGACCAGAUAUUCAUAUGCCCCCACAUGACCAGGACAUCUAAAAGCUGUCUUAUGAAUAUCCUCUGGCGCCAUCUUUAUUUGAUUGUAACCGGCAUUUCCAUCCAUAAACGAUAAAACUUUAUGCUUUGCUACAACAUCUAUGGAUAAGUCAGCCAUGGGCAUGAGAUAUUCAUCCUUUGGUGUGGCGCUAUUAAUAUUCCUAUAAUCAACACAACACCGUACUGCUUUUGUUAUAGCUUUUAAAACGGGUACAAUGUUGGCUAGCCACUCUACAUAUUUGGCUGGUCUAAUAAAGCCAGCUUUCACCAGCCUUUCAAUUUCUUCUUUGACUUUUUCUUCUAUCUCCUUUGACAUCCUUCGUGGUGCCUGCUUGACAGGUUUAUAUCCUUCCUUGAUGGGCAUUCUAUGUUCCACCAAGGCUGGGUCUAAUCCUGGCAUCUCGGUGUAAUGCCAAGCAAAACAAUCUUUGAAUUCUUGCAAAAGAGAGAUAAUCUUGGCCCGAUCCUUAAUCCUUAAUAAACCGCUGAUUUGAAUUGGUCUCGGAUCCUCUUCUGUGCCUAGAUCAAUAACUUCCAAUGGAUCCUGGACUUCUGGAGGUGGCUUAUCAGGUUCUGCACACAAAAAUUCAACUAACUCCGGGUUCUCGGGCAGACCGUCUGGCUCGUCUAUAUCGUAGACGCAUUCGGCCAUUUGAAUGGCCUUAUCUAACUCCUCUGUGCAAGAUUCUUCCUCAUUUUCCUGCUGGCUGGUAGAAACUUUCCCCUGCCACUCCUGCUCUUCUUUAUCCAAGAGCUUUUCUUCCUGUCUUCUUCCCUUUCCAUACAUCAACAGUCUUUUAAUCAGGGAUCUGACUGCCAUGACCUGAUCUUUCUUCUUUUGUUCAAUCAUUGAUGGUAUAGAGAGUUUGGUAUAAGACAGGGUCUCUCCCACUCCUCCUUGGUAAGGAGCAUCCCUUGUUCUAGAAGCUUUCGGGCCGUCACCUUGGUAGGGCGGCUGUUCUCAUCAGCUCCUAAACAUUUCAAAAUUCCCACGUUGGGAUUGUAGAAAUUUGCUUCUGCAACAUUAGCUGAGGGGAGGAACGGCCGUGAUUCGGCCUCUACCAACUCCCAAAAGCUUGAUCAUUCAGUACUUGCCUCGUGGUAUACAGCCACUUGUUGAUGAAGAGUAGAAGGUAUGGCUAAACUUUGAUGAAUCCAAUCUCUUCCAAGUAGGGCCCCGUAAGUGGAAGUGCAGUCUACUACAAAGAACGCCAACAUUAUUUUCUUGGACCCCAGAUCUACCUCCAAAGGUAAUAUCCCAUGAGUCAUGGUGAUGGCACCUGAAAAGCUCGAGACUGUAAGGUUUGUGGGAAUAAGAUCUUCAGUGCUUCUCCCCAUCCUCUUCAUCUGCUUGGCUGGCAAUAUGUUAACAGCCGUUCCUCCAUCAAUCAAAAUUCUUUUGAAAGGUACACCUUCCAGAUGAGCUGAAACGUAUAUAGGCUUCAGGUGGUUGGCCAACGAAAUACUUGGGUGGCUGAACACCAUUUUAUCUGUGUAAAUCCGUAGGGGACCACAUUUAGGUACUUUUGAGGAUUCAACCUUGCCUGAGUCUUCCUCUGUAACUACCUCCACAUUGACGUGAGCCAUCAUCGGCUCAGUUGUUAAAUAAUCACCUUCCAUGGUAGCGGGCUGGUCAGUCCUGGCGCCAAACAUGGCGGAUAAUACAUACGUAAUGUUGAUGUGGAAGUUGCUGGGUUCGAGCAAGUCCUCCUUCUUGCUCCUAAUGUGAUCCAUGAACUCGUCUAACCAGGCCAUUGCAUCGGCUGGUAGUAAGGGCUCUGGUAUCCCUUCCUGUUGUGGUUGAUUCAUGUCUCCGUACAGCGCUUGCUUUGGAACUUCACCAAACGGAUCCAAAGGCAAAAAGGUUGGUCUCCUCUCAGAUGCAACAGUUUCCUCAUGGGUGGGCCCUGGCCUCCAACCAGGUGUUGGCAUCAUAGUCAGAUCUUCCUGAGCCCUUCUUAAGAUCCUAUACUUGCCAGGAUGUUGGCUUUGUGGCACAUGAUUCCCCAUACCCUCCGUCUUGCCGUUGGCCCUUUCUACUUCCUUCUUACUUCGCCAACGAAGCUGACUACUACUUCCAGAUGUUGCCCUCUCUGGCUUUUGAUUUUUUGAGGCUUCAGAGGUGAUGGGGGUCAUCAGGGAAUUCAUGUAGGCUUUGUGCUGCCUUUGAACCCUUCUGACCAUGGAUGCUCCCAUUGGUCUGGUGGGCUGCCCAUCUUUUCUAACUACAUACCAUUUCCGCCCACGAUAUGCAGGAGUUGCUUUCUUAACAGGAUUAGCUAUCCCAUCAGUUCUUUUGACUUCCUUCCCCUUUUGGCCAUUUUGAAGCUGCUCUGUACUUCUUUGGAGUUUGGCUUCCAUGUCCUCUGCCUCGUCAGAAACUUCAUAGUUUCGAAACUCGUCAGAAACUUCAUAGUUUCGAAAUACUUCUAACAACGCCUUGGGUUGGGAAUCACCUCCUAAACGUUGAAAAACGCUUCGGGAAGUAUUUUUUCUUGUUGCCUGUUUAAGCCUUUCGCGGGCUUCUCUUUUAAUUAACUCGUGAUCAAUAAGGACUCCAGCUGGGGGAAUCUCGAGUUCACAUUCACACUGGCAUUUACUACACAUAACCAGUCCUUUGAUUAUGGCAGCCUUUGGGUACUCGGAUGGUUUGCCUAUCCCUUCCGUAGGUCGUUUGGCUAGUUUCCCUUCUUCUUCUUCCCUUAUAAUUUUCCCUUUUCCUUUCUCUGCCCAGGUCAUGUUGAGCAUGUUUACCGGGGCUUCAGAAAAGGGCAACACAGGGUUGACUAUGACUACCUCAUCUGGUUGGGUAGUCCUGUGUCUUUCUCCUUUGGGAGGAGCCAAACCUGUCUCAUUUCUAGAGCCUAGGGAGGCUUCAUUCAGUCUCUAUAGCAUUUGAAACAAUGUAUUCUGUAAAUCUUCUGGCAUGUUUAUCUUUAUCUUCAGAUCAGAGGAUCCCACCGGGCGUGCCAAAACUAUGUUCGUCGCAGGAAUCUCCUGGCGGACGAGCACACAACUCCCCUGGGAGAAUGGCGUCGGUUGAGGGUAUCUGUCGUACUUCUGCUUUCUUCUCGGGCUCGCUCGGGCAAGCCUUUGUCGGGCAGAUCUUGGUCGGGCAAGACACACUUCGGGCAAGGCUCGUCGGGCAGUUCUGAAAGAGAAGGACAGAGUUAAUUUGAAAUGGUGCCUUUGUGGGGCCUUAGGUGUAGGCCUUAAGGCUCACAAUCAAGAUUAACUUUGUCGUGCUCAGGCGUGCCACUGCCAUCUUCAGUAUGGCAGAUGUUGAAUGGGUGUUAAGCUUUGAUUGAAUAUGUAUACGCCCGAGAAACCAAGUUAGAUAUAACAGGUGCCUUUGUGGGGCCUUAGGUAUAGGCCUUGAGGCUUCCUGUCAAACUAAACCAGCGCUUGGAUGUAUCAUAUUUUGGUCUUUUAUGGUUGCCAGAGUCUUAUCACUAUUAUACCUUUGAUUAUCUGAAUCCAAGAGGUAGGACGAACCCAAAUGAGUGCCUUUGUAGGGCCUUAGGUAUAGGCCUUGAGGCUUCCCAUCAGAGUUAAUCCUUAUACUCGGACCAACUAGACCGCAACAUGAAAUGAAGCUAAAUAGAUGCCUUCGUGGGGCCUUAGGUGUAGGCCUUGAGGCUUUCUAUCAGAAUUCACUCCAUGCUUAAGCCUUUUCUAUGAAUCAAGAUAUAAUAGCAACAAAACGGAGAAAUAGAUUGAUUACUUGCGCCCCAAGUAACUUCGGACUUCUCGCUUAUCAAGGAUUGUCGUGGAUGAGUUGAGUCCACAUAGAGUUCUUUUUUAUGCCUUGAGGCCAAGGACUUUUAAGCUGAUCUUUAAAUUACAUGCCCACCGGGCUUAAGACUUAGAUCUGAUUUGAACUCUGACGCGAUUCAGAUCGGAUUCAAGUGCUGAAGACUCAUUUUCAUUAUGACUUUGCUAGAAAUAACUUGUAUAUAACUGGGAAUAUAUAACAUGUUAUUGUGCUUUUAAAAGAAAGAAAAGACAAAGACAGAGCAAAGAUAGUCGGGUAAGUUUGAACCUUAUCGGCCAAGGCUGAACUUCUUACAAAAUCUAUCUUUGUGGCUCUGUCAGAGGUCUGAAAGCUUUUAGAGGGGUUGACGGGGGAGAAGAGGAUACAAAAUGAAUCGAUACCACCAUGAACAAGGUAGCAGAGCUAUUACAAGGGUUUGGGAAGGUUUAUCCCGAAUGGGAUGAAGGCUUGUGCUGACUACAACUUCGUUGAAGGCAAAUCUGGCUUGAGCAGAGUUUUGGCUUUUGUUUGUUUGUUUGAGUGUCCCUAAUUCUGUCUUCUCUUCCUCCUUUUAUAGACGACUUCAGCUUGGGUUCCUGUAGCAAUAGCGGUGCCCGAAUGCGGUUUGGUGAUGACUCACUAGCUUUUUUACAUGAAUGCCACCAAUAAAGUACUUUAUUGGGCUGUGUAGUGACUGAAUAGCCUACCCCCUGUGGUCUUUGAGCAGGUAAGCAGGUGGCCUUUGUAACUUGUGCCCAGCCGAAAGCCUCUUUCCUGCCUCCUAAGUUUUCCUCUGGGCCUUGGGUUUGGGCCGACUUUCUCUCUGGCCCAAAGUUCAGAUUUUAUCCCAAACAUAUUCAAUCUCUUAUGUCAGUACGAAAACUUUUCAAUGGCACCACAAUAAAGAACUGAGGAACAAAUAAUCAAAAAUUGGUUUCUGAAUAUUAGUUACCUUUGCUUUAUAAUUUUCUUUCCCUCAAUUAGUAUAACUCGAUUAGUAUAUGUUACUCACAUGUAUAUAUGAAAUUAUCAUGUUUAAACCAUAUACCCUCUCUUCUAAUAACCAAGUUCAAACCAUAAAUAUCAACACCGAUUGCUUUGAUAAAUGACUUCAUCGAGCUUGCUGAGUUGACGCGCUUCAUCAGUCUUCCAGUGCAAGAUCAGCAAAAUUUCAGAGUUCAAACCAUAUAUAUCAACACCGAUUGCUUUGAUAAAUGACUUCAUCGAGCUUGCUGAGUUGACGCGCUUCAUCAGUCUUCCAGUGCAAGAUCAGAACAAAAUUUCAGAUAUACAUACAUACAUACAUACAUACAUACAUACAUACAUGCAUGCUUAUAAAAUCAACAACGACAUUUGAAGAAAGUGGUUGUAUUUAUCACUAUAUCAAUUAACCAAAACUAUGAGCAUGAAAACAAAGAAAAAAAAACCUAAAACAUGCCGUGGUUUUCUAGUCAUGGCUAGUUCGAUAUAGUUAUGAACCAACUAUUCAUAUCGUUACAAAAUUGAAUAAAGAAAGAUUUGAAGUACAGGGUAUUUACUUCGAAACUCAAAUAAUUUGGAUACAAUUAACACGAUCAAUAAUUAUAACAGAAGGUAUAAUCGUUAAUUAUUAAUAUGCCAAAAUCCAUGUAUUAUCGUACAUGCGAUCACAUGAUAUAUGACUAUAUAAUGACAUCAAGAAUUACCACUCCAAUCAAGAAUUAUUGACAUAUUGAUCAGCUUUCUUGCUUAUUAGCCUAAACUUUUAUUGUUUUAAUCAUAUAAUCAAGGGCUCUGAUACCACUUGUCAAGUUUAAAUGGUUAUAUAAUUAAAACACAAACAAAGGAGUGGCUAACCUGAUCGAAGUGGCAACCAUGGAAGACGAACAUGAGAAGAUGAGUAGCAAUACCGAAAUCUUCUACAAACACCUAGCUAGAUACAACUACUUUAUGGGAAGUGUUUUGUUGUGUGUCUAGGAUUUGCAUGGACCUUAGUAUCCAUCCACAAACCCAAAUCCCACUUUCUUAGCCUACCAGUUAGGUAUCAUAAACACAUAUUUAUCAAGGAUUCAAACCUUAUUUGGAUUCCAAGACACACAUUCAUAAGGCUGAUAUAAAGAGAUCAAAUCACAAUCUUAGCAUUACUCUCUAUUACUUCAUUCCUAUUACAGUGUAGACCAUUUAAAGAUUUAUUUAUAUUGGAUUAAAACCAACAUGUAUUUCGUUUCUGUUAAUAAAUCGUAUUGAAUGUUAUCAGAUCUCUACGUAUUAGAGAAUUGAUUUGAUUAAGAAUUGUCAUUGCAUUGUAUAUGAAAAGGGUAUACGAAAAGCAUAAUUAAGCUUCCAUUAAACAUUUAACAAGAAGAAUAGAAAAGAUUGCUUGUAGUUUUCUUUAUUCUUUCAAUAAUUAACUAUGUUUACACGAUUUUAUAGACUGAGAAACCAACAAGUUUCUUCACAUAAACUGAAGAUACAUACGAUUUUCCUAAAUUCAAUUUACUACAAGGAGUACCCUAGCUACUAAGUACGUACUAAUCAUCAAAGCUCAAAGCUCAAAAUCCUUAUUGCAAAACUUUAUUAUCAAAUUAACUCGCCUAUUAUCCUCGAAAACACAUCGUCAUCACCAUCAUACUGAUCAAUGCUUGAUGAAAACCCGCUCACGGGCCCAGAGGACUUGAAUGCCAUCAGAUCAUCUGGCGACACGAGAUAAUCACUCGGUAGCCAAUGGUUGUCGUGGCUUGUCAGCGUAUGAUCACUUGCUGCCUUGACAAUCAGUUCUUCUUUAACUGAUGAUGAAGCAAAGGAUGCGAAAAAUGGGUCCUCUUGUUUGUUUGUCAAACAAUUGGCGUUGUCAAAACUAAUGAACAUUGAAGAAUCUCUAAGAUUUGUGCAAUCCAAUACCAGGUCAGAAGUUUUGAAGUAGUCUCUGCACGUGUGGGUGCCAUAAUAUGUGGUUCGUAACACUGAUGGAUGAUCUUGAACUUGUUGAACAUGCUUGGUUGCUUUGCACCCUUGGUCGAAUUUGUAAGUGCAUCUAAAGUAGUUCCUGCAUACACAUAACAUAACUAUGGUCAACUUCAUUUCUUGUAAUUAUUACCAUUGUAACUAUUGAAAUUUGUUUCUAUUUUACAAGGUAAAUCGUAUAUAUGUAUGUACCUAGGAUGCUUCGCAUUGUGGAUAACUUUAUGUCCAUACUUUCUCCAUGCAUGACCAUCGUCAAUCAAACCAGGAGUAUCUCUAGUCCAAGAGUGUGUAGUCUUUCUGCAAAGAAUCAACAAGUUGCAACUCUUUAUUAGAACUUUUAAAUCAAUAAAUUGGGCAGAAUUCUCAUCUAUUUUUUUGAUAAAAUGUACGGUUAACGUUAACUGGUAAUGCUGGCAUUAUGCUGCCAUGGUAAGAAGGAUAGGAAUGGAUAUUUAGAUCAUUAAAUACAAGGAACAACUGAAGCAUCCAAAUUUUGUUAGAAUAUAGCAUAACAUGAACAUAUAAGAGCAAAUGGUAGUCUUCACUCUUUUGUCUCAAUAGAAAUUUCUAUGCAUUAUUGAAUAGAAAAAUACAAUUAUAUUCAUCCACAAGAAUCUAACCGUUGUUAUGAGAAAAUUAAUUAUAAUUCUAGUUGUUCACACAUCCACAUAAAUCUAACAACUGUUAUGAACAAAUUAAUUACAGUUAUUCUUAUCACGGGUGGGUCAUUAGUUCUCAAAGAGACUAUUUAGUAUUGUAGGUAUUAUACAUAAAUGUUUGAAAUUGAACAAUCAGGUAAUCAUACAUGGAAAGAUCCUUUUACUGGAAAAAAAAUUCAUUUUAAACAAUAUGUUAAUUAUGCAGAUGUUGAUGAUCAUAUUACCUAGGUAGUAAUUAAUUAGAGAAAUAUAACUAAUUACCUUCUCUUGUAAGAACCUCUACCAUCCUUGAAGGUUGAAGUGCUCUUACAACUGAUCUCCUCCUCAGUAUAAUCUUCAGACUUAAUAGUAGCUGCAUGAUCAUGAUUAGCAUCCCAAGAUGAUAAAUCAGCACCACCACCACUAACAACACUACCACCGUCACUAACACCACCACCACCACCACCACCACCACUAACAACACUACCACCGUCACUAACACCACCACCACCACCACUAACACCACUACUAUUUCCUUGAAUCUGGUCAGAAACAAACUCCUGAUCAGACUCCUUCCCAUUUAAAAUCAAAAGGGUAUUAACAAAACCUUCAGCCGAUCCCUCAUCAUCACCGUUAACAACUGACCUGUUAUCGUAAGCCGUACUAAGUUGACUUGCCAGUUCACGGCCUUGGAUCAACUCCUCCAUAACCCUCUCCCUAUUUGAGAGCACACUGUCCGACCACGACCACUCCAUUAAUCCUAAUCUCCUGCUUAACUAACUACUAUAGCGAUUAAAAGUUAAUUAAUCUCUCUUGUUUAUGUGAGGGAUUAUGGUUUUGUUAGCUGUAGCCAAAGUGUUGGAUGGGAGGUAUCCUUUUAUAUCCGUCAAAAAACUCCUCUGACAUUGCAAUUAAUCUUAAAUUGAUGUAUGAAAUAGCAAUAUUAAAAGAUGAGGUAUGAAUUACUAUGUGACCCAAAGUUGAGAUGAUAAAAUGUAAUUUACUAUAUGCCACAAUUUUAUUUGUUACUAAUGUGGCCUAUUGAAUUUAAAUGUUAAAUCUUUUUCCUUUUCAAUGAAUGGAGAAAUUUUUUAGUGUGCCGAAUAGUAUAUCAAGUGUCAAAAUAUAAAUGAAUGAAAUUUUUUUUUUUUUAAGUUUUCAACUAAUUGUAUUAUCACUUGGUUUAUCGAGCCGUAUUCCCGGCACAUUAAAAAAUUUCUCUAAUAAAUGUGUUAAAUAUUUAUUUUAUUAAGAUAGUGGGCCUCAUAAUUACAUUAUUUAUUAAAAAAAUAAUCAAAAUUGGUGUAAUUUUCAUUCUAUUGGUUGUCAAUAUGAUCCAUGUAUUAAUAAAAAAAUUAAAGCCAUUUGACUCUAUCUUUGUUUGUUGUAAAAAAGACAGAUAAAAAAUAAGAAAUUAAAUUACUCAGCUACUACGUCAUGGACGACAUCUUUUUUUACAACACUUUAAUGUGUUUUAUUUCUAGUUAGUAUAUUUGACAUCUGCUUAGAUUUGACAUCUCCUUGUAAGAUGAGCUCAUGUUGAAGGAAGGAGAAGUGAAAGUCCAGUAAUUCGACACCAUCCCCGCCAUUAAGGUCUAUCUUUUCUACCAAUCGCUAGAUUAGCCCUCGACAUAAUUCUAUAUUUGGUUGACUGUUCCACACGCGGUUGUUCUAUACUUGUUGCGAUAGUACGAUAUGUUUUACGACGUCAUUGAUGAGGUAACCCUAGUGUCGUCAGCCACGUGUUCUAAUUAAUUUUAUUUUUUUAUAAUAUUAGCUAACCAACAAAACAAAUUCACUAGUUGUUGGGCCAUCUAUAUUAUCUUAUUAUCCUCAUUCUGAAAUUAUACUCUCUUGCCCUUUGGGCGAAUUACGAUUGCAUCCUUUAGAAUUGUGCUCUUGGAGCGUUUGAGAGGUGGAGACUUUAGUUAUAUAUGGCAAAGAGAGUUGCAUUAGGGUUGUUAAUACGAUGACACUAAGGUGGUAGUUUACAUCUUCAACGUGGCUGUAAAAUCUCGUAUAUUACGUAAUAUAAUAUAUAUGUGUGUGUAUUUCUCUUAUUAUUCAGAUUUACUAUUUCAUUUUCGUAUCGCUUGGAAUUAUUGACCUAUCACCCUUAUACCCAUUAGGAAACCAUGUUUUUACAUCUUAUCUUAGUUAGAUUUUUGACGUGGCAUAUUCCGGAGCAACUGAUUAAAAUAGCGUUAGUAGUUGUUAAACCCAUGGAGGUACGGAAAUUAUUAUUUGCGUGCAACAGUACCAGGUGUUUGGUUUAUUAGAGUGAGUAAACACUUUGAUGCCACGACUAUCAUAUAUGCUGGUGACUUAUCUUCUUCUUAUUGUACUUUCAAAAGACAGAGCCCCUAAGUAACUCAGUAGCUUCAGUUUCAACCAAUUAGAGUCUUUGGGGUGCCGACUAUUUGAGACCAUAAAUAGGAGCAUGUCCCAUUGUUUUACAACAGAGAAAAUAACGAGGAGCAUACAGUGCAUGCAGUAAGAGUUCACGUAGAGAUUAUAUAUACUUAUAUACAUAGAGAGAGCGGAGAGAAAGUAUUUGGUUGUCUCGGUGGGUUUCGGUAGAUAACUUGUCUUGCUGAGGUUCUAGCUAUCGAUCGAGGUGAGUGGUUUAUGUAAUGUUUUCAAAAUAUUCUUAUUUUCCUAUAAAUGUGAAAACCAUGAGCUAUCAUGGGUUUUGAUCUAUUUCCAAAUAUCUCUCUAUUUCAAGUCAAGCAUGUUGGAUUUGUUGAAAUGUUUUCGGAGUUAUUAUAUAUGGUGAUAUGUGGAUAAUUGGAAAUGCUUAUGGAGCAUAAGAACUUU
rnacentral:lncRNA from 1 species